CUUUGAAAGGACUACAAGUACCUUACAGCGAUAGAAACAUAUUUACGUAGUUACGUAUCUGUAAGUGUUAACGUAUAAAUAAUUUGGCUCAUAACUAGAAAGUGUGUGAACAUUAUGGUUGAAUAACGUUGACAAUGGCCAGUGUGACGUCCGACAAUGCGGGUUUAUUAGGAAAAACUAACACAGAGGAUUUAAUAUGGAUCAUACCUACGGCUAUUGCAGUCAUUGUUCUACUGUGUUUGACUGCCUUGGGAUUGUUUCAUUGUUGUUUGGGAAUCGGCGACUGUUUCUUUGAUUGUAUGUACAAGUGUGGCUGCUACAGACGGAAACAAAGGAGUUAUGAUAUGGACGAGCGAGUACCUUUAACGGAACACCCUAUGCCUAUGUAUGAAUCAUCUGGAAAUCGAGAAACAACAUAUUUCCAGAUGUCUGAGAGAAACCGACAUUGACCUUAAUAAUUGUACAAUGACUGAAUGAAAGAAGAGGAAUGGAUAAACACUGGAUGCAUUAAUAAAUCAGACAAAUUUCCUUGUGACAAUGUCGAUCAUUAGCUUACUGAUAAAGAACGCGUGUAUUUAUAGAAUAUUGCCUUGUGAUAUGGUGUGACUACUGAUAAUACACAUAAUUAAUUAAUUACAAAAAGAAGUCUUUGCAAUAACUUAACUCGCAUUACAAAUGCAGCGUUUUACUCGACGUUUCUGUAAAUAUCUUGUUUUUGAGCAUGUGUGUUCUGCCUAUGUAAAAUAGAAAACAGGGCGUCAUAUAACUUUUGAGAUGUUGUGCACAACGAUAAUCAUAUGCAGUUAUUUUGUCCAAAAAGCAAACUAAAAAGCCAAAAAGAUUUAUGUGUUGUUAUUUAAUACCGCUUGUUGUCUGCAGUAUAUGCUUUACAAUCCAUGCUUUGUCAAGUUCUAAAAUUUCUGAAUUAGCCCUGGCCUCAAUCUGCAUCACCUGAAGUUUCUCAUUUCUUUCUUUUAAAAAUGAAUGACACCGAUAUAGCGAUUUGGUUCAGUUCCCGGUUUGAGUUUCUUCUUUAAUUGUUACCUAUCUAACUGUUCCGUUUCCGUAUGGUAUUCAUUUUAUAACAGAUAAGACUUGAUUUAUACCAUUGCUUUAUUUUUUCAUUGUCUGUACGCAACUCUCUGUUUUAAUUAUUUUUAACAACUGCAAUAUAAUUUGGUGUUUUAUAAUAUGUCACUUAUUUAUAGCUUGUUUACUCAUUAUUAUUAGGCCUACCGAGAAGUAUAUUGUAUAGAUGAAGGCAAUUGUGUAUUAGUAUCAUAAUUUGGUGUUUUAUAAUAUGUCACUUAUUUAUAGCUUUUUUACUCAUUAUUAUUAGGCCUACCGAGAAGUAUAUUGUAUAUACUGUAUGUAGACCUGUCAUCUUACUUACAAAAUAUGUCGAGGUGGAGAUCGUUUCGGUUGCAUCUAAAAAAGCUUCACUAAAAAAUGAGCCAACCCGCGAUACUGAAUAAUGUAGAACCUUCCAUUAUGUAUGAAACUAUAUAGACAUUGUAAAUAACUGCGUAAUGAAAUAAUAAUGAACAGAAUUAUGCUUAACUCCAUGGAUUUUAAAUUGAAUUUAGAACUAUUAAGAGUCCGACGAUUGGUUUAGUGUUGUCAUUAUUUUAUUCUCACAAGACUACCUUCAAAAUACCUAGCAUAAAUUUGUCA